rnacentral:lncRNA from 1 species
GGAAGGGAGGAGAAAGUAAAGGAUUCAGGCCAUUAGGCCCGAAUCAACGAGAUCUGUCCUAGUCUAAUUGGGCUUUCAACCCAUUUCACUUGUCCUAAUCUAGUGUUCAAGCCUUUGGCUCGAGUCUUGCUCCACCUGUAUUGAAUUUACAACUUUGACUUCUAGGCCCCAAAUGGAUAACUAAAGUAAUAAAUAAAUAAGACAAUGAUAAAUAAAUAAAUAAAUAAUACUACAAUGAAUAAAUAAAGAAAGAGAAGACUAUCGAAUCAUGUUGCCACUGCAAGAAUGGAGUUUUAAUCCGUUUUCCUUCUUCCGAUUUUCUUAUCCACACACUUAGACUCUCUUUCAGGCUUGACUCAAUGGAUGCG